UAUUUUUUACUCGACUGAGGCGAAACUCAAAAGGAGGAUUAUGUGUUUGACUUGUGUGUAUGUAUGUAUGCCAGUU